rnacentral:tRNA from 14 species
GGGGCAUUAGCUCAGUUGGGAGAGCGCUACAUUCGCAUUGUAGAGGUCGGCGGUUCGAAUCCGCUAUGCUCCA